rnacentral:rRNA from 1 species
CCUACGGGAGGCAGCAGUAGGGAAUCUUCCACAAUGGGCGCAAGCCUGAUGGAGCAACGCCGCGUGUGUGAUGAAGGGUUUCGGCUCGUAAAACACUGUUAUUAGAGAAGAACGGCUCUGAGAGUAACUGUUCAGUGUGUGACGGU